AUAAGGUAUGAGAUCUGAUCUCAUAAAUUAAUUUUAGAUUUUAUAUGUCUUAAAUCCAUGUUAGAGAAGAUUUUAGAUAUGAUUUAAUGAAUGAUAAAAAUAGUUAAUCUAUUUUAUUCCGCUAUGAUUUUAAAAUAGUUUUGAAAUACAUGCAUGUGAUCUGCCCUUCCCUUUCUAAUAGUGGUAUCAGAGCCAGAUUUCAUAAGAGACAUAUUUAAUCU
rnacentral:lncRNA from 1 species